rnacentral:rRNA from 1 species
UGGGUUUGACAUCCUCUGACCGUCUGGGAAACCAGAUUUUUCCGGUUCGCCGGAACAGAGUGACAGGUGCUGCAUGGCUGUCGUCAGCUCGUGUCGUGUGAUGUUGGGUUAAGUCCCGCAACGAGCGUAACCCUUGUUUUUAGUUGCCAGUAUUAAGUUAGGCACUCUAAAGAGACUGCCUCGGUUAACGGGGAGGAAGGUGGGGAUGACGUCAAGUCCUCAUGGCCUUUAUACCCAGGGCUACACACGUGCUACAAUGGACUGUACAAAGGGUUGCUAAUCCGUGAGGAGGAGCUAAUCCCAAAAAGCAGUUCUCAGUUCGGAUUGAAGUCUGCAACUCGACUUCAUGAAG